rnacentral:rRNA from 1 species
UUGAACGCUGGCGGUAUGCUUUACACAUGCAAGUCGAACGGGCUAUGGGGCUUGCUCCAUAGUUAGUGGCGAACGGGUGAGUAAUAUAUCGGAACAUAUCCGGAAGUGGGGGAUAACGUAGCGAAAGUUACGCUAAUACCGCAUAUGCCCUGAGGGGGAAAGGGGGGGAUCGCAAGACCUCUCGCUUUCGGAGUGGCCGAUAUCGGAUUAGCUUGUUGGUGAGGUAAAGGCUCACCAAGGCGACGAUCCGUAGCUGGUCUGAGAGGACGACCAGCCACACUGGAACUGAGACACGGUCCAGACUCCUACGGGAGGCAGCAGUGGGGAAUUUUGGACAAUGGGGGCAACCCUGAUCCAGCCAUUCCGCGUGAGUGAAGAAGGCCUUCGGGUUGUAAAGCUCUUUCAGCAGGAACGAAACGGUGGCUACUAAUACUAGCUACUAAUGACGGUACCUGAAGAAGAAGCACCGGCUAACUACGU